rnacentral:rRNA from 1 species
AAUCAACGCUGGCGGCGUGCCUAACACAUGCAAGUCGAACGAGAAAGUGGAGCAAUCCAUGAGUAAAGUGGCGCACGGGUGAGUAACACGUGACUAACCUACCCUUGAGUGGGGGAUAACCUCGGGAAACCGGGGCUAAUACCGCAUAAUAUCGAGAGAUCAAAGGAGCAAUUCGCUUAAGGAGGGGGUCGCGGCUGAUUAGCUAGUUGGUGAGGUAAUGGCUCACCAAGGCUAUGAUCAGUAUCCGGCCUGAGAGGGCGCACGGACACACUGGAACUGAAACACGGUCCAGACUCCUACGGGAGGCAGCAGUGGGGAAUUCUGCGCAAUGGGGGAAACCCUGACGCAGCAACGCCGCGUGGAGGAUGAAGUCCCUUGGGACGUAAACUCCUUUCGAUCGGGACGAUAAUGACGGUACCGAGAGAAGAAGCCCCGGCUAACUUCGUGCCAGCCGCCGCUGUAAC